rnacentral:tRNA from 1 species
UAUAUUUUAGUGUAAGAAGCACAAUAAUUUUUGGUAUUAUUAGGUAUAGUUUGAUUCUGUAAAAUAUAA